rnacentral:lncRNA from 1 species
UGCUGCCCAGCUGCCAGAAGCAGCAGUAGUUUUUGCUUAUAAUAAGCUGCUCAGAAAUGCUGUGAGUGGCAUCUGCUUGUCUCCUGUGCAGAAGACAAUAUUCUAAUUUGCUGAGUGAUUCUACUGACGGCACUUAGAAACACUAGUCUACACAGUCUGAAGGCUAAAGCAGGAAGACAGCACUCAGCUGCUGACUUGGGAACCCACCUUCUAAAAGACUCCCAAACAUCACUACGCACAUGGUAACAAUACCUAACAAUGAGGCACCACAGCAAUGACAACAUUCCAGCCACACCAA